UACGGGGGGGGGUAAGCGUUGUUCGGAAUUACUGGGCGUAAAGGGCGCGUAGGCGGCCUUCUAAGUCGAACGUGAAAUCCCUGGGCUCAACCCAGGAACUGCGUCCGAUACUGGAAGGCUUGAAUCCGGGAGAGGGAUGCGGAAUUCCGGGUGUAGCGGUGGAAUGCGUAGAGAUCCGGAAGAACACCGGUGGCGAAGGCGGUGAGCUGGGCAGUUGCUGACACUGAGGCGCGACAGCGUGGGGAGCAAACAGG
rnacentral:rRNA from 1 species